rnacentral:misc_RNA from 1 species
CCGAGUUUACAACUCCCAAACCCCUGUGAACAUACCUAUACGUUGCUUCGGCGGGAUAGCCGCGCCAGUUGACCAAGCUGGACCAGGCCCCGCCGAGGACCCUAAACUCUUGUUUUUAGUGGAAUCUUCUGAGUAAACAACAAAUAAAUUA